ensembl:lncRNA
GUGUGUGGUUCUUCUCAGGGUAGGUGCUCUACAAAUUCCUGUUGAAUGAGUCCAGUUACUCUGCCGGAUACGGCUUGAAUGAGCUCCCAGGAGCAGCUGGCCACACAUCCUUUAAUAAUGUCUUCCUGCUGACAGCUGCAAGAUGUGUUAGCAUACUGGCUAGAUGAUGGAGGAGGAGAAAGGCCAAACCUGAGUAAGCAUCUAGGAAUGUAGCACUCAAAGUUUAGCAAAGCACUGCGUAUGACUGCAAGACUGAAUGUCAGCUACUGCCCACUUUGUUCUGUUAAGAUGUACCCAGUAAAGAACAAAAGCGGGCCUUCCCUGCUGGUCCAGCGGCUAAGAAUUCUGCCAACGCAUUGCAUGCGGGUUCAGUCCCUGGCCCGAGAACAUCCCAUGUGUCACAAGACAACUCAGUCUGUGUGCCACAACUACCGAGCCCAUGUGCCCUAGAGGCCCGUGCUCCUCGACAAGAGGAGCCACCGCAGUGAGAAGCCUGUGAAUCGCAACUAGAGUAGCCCCUGCUCGCCACAACUAGAGAAAGCCUGAGUGCAGCAACAAUGACCCAGUACAGCCAUUUGCACGAGACCCCUGAAGGCAGGAAACCCAAGCUUACAGCAAGCAGAAACCAGAGAGGGACCCCUGGGCAUUUAACUGGCCUAAAGUUAGAAUUUAGUCUUCAACAUUGGUUUAGCCGAGAUUUCAGAACUUAUGGGCGUUGUGUCUUUAUCUGAUUUCUCUUAAGAGCUUUGUUGACUGCUACAACAAAAGAAGGGCUUGUUAUGAGUGAUUUCCCAGAAGACCCUACAGAGACGUGUUUUUUUUUUUCCAGUAAUGAAGAAGCACUUAUUAGCUGCACAGGUGUAUGCUGUCUUAUUGAAUUUUGUGACCGUGGAAGGCUCAGAGAACAAGAACUUGCUCAAGGGUACACAACCAUCAUCCAGGCCAGGAACUAUCUCCUGGACCAAAUACCGUGUCCUUUCCACAGGUCCCUAAGGCAGCACAUGAUUUCCCAUCAUUCUGGGGGACACUGAAAAGUAGAAGUUGGUGAUGGACAGGGGAGCCUGGCGUGCUGCAGUCCAUGGGGUCACAAAGACACCACUGAGUGGCUGAACUGACUGAAGAGCAGAAUAGUAAUUUUAUAAUCUAUAUGUGGUCAGCAGUGCAAGAGCCCCAGCGCUGCUCCCAGAAGGUGACCAGCUGUUUCUGUCCAACCAUCGCUGAGUCCAGAUGCUCCAAACCUCCGAGCACAAGCCCUGCAGUGAAUGUUUUCCAAUUGAAAUUUCUUUGUUCAAGAACAUCCAGGCAGAGCAGUAUUUUAUGGAGGUUGGACUUUGGCUAUUUUGAGCCAUGCUUUAUUAAAACACAAUUCAUCUGAGGCAUUUGUGCUGUGUUCUCAAUCAGUCAUGUGACCCUUCAUUCAUUAUA